UUGUAAAAGCAGGUUCUACUGCAACAAUGCUUUAGCGUAAUUAUGAGUUAUUUGCUUCGGUGCAAGAAUUCUUUCUUUGAACACAAUAAACAAAACCCCGGAGUCCUCCCCAAAUACCCAUUUUGUUUUUUCUAAUACAUUAUGACAGAAUCAACCCCCAUAUGAUGUGCAGUAUUUAGUACCACAGUGUUUAGGUCACAUUUAGUUUUCUAGUGUCGAAGUGACAGAGAGAAGCAUAUCUUAUUGUUUUUAUUUAUUGAUUUAUUUAGUUGAUUUUUUUAUAUAUUUUUUUUCAUUUGUCGAGAGACCUAUCUGGUGGUGUCUCACGGAAUUGCAGGACUGAUUAUUGGCAAGUCAGUUUAUAAUUGGCAGCUAGCUCCAUUUGAAUGAUACAGCAGCAACACCUGGUCAACAGCAUCGGCUUUUAGGCCUCCUGCUCCGUCUCCUAGAGGGAAGCGGUGUGAGGUGAUGCAGAGGCUCGCCUCGUAGGGAGCUUUUAGGCCUCCUGCUCCGGCUCCUAGAGGGAAGCGGUGUGAGGUGAUGCAGAGGCUCGCCUCGCAGGGCGCUUUUAGGCCUCCUGCUCCGGCUCCUAGAGGGAAGCGGUGUGAGGUGAUGCAGAGGCUCGCCUCGUAGGGAGCUUUUAGGCCUCCUGCUCCGGCUCCUAGAGGGAAGCGGUGUGAGGUGAUGCAGAGGCUCGCCUCGUAGGGAGCUUUUAGGCCUCCUGCUCCGGCUCCUAGAGGGAAGCGGUGUGAGGUGAUGCAGAGGCUCGCCUCGUAGGGAGCUUUUAGGCCUCCUGCUCCGGCUCCUAGAGGGAAGCGGUGUGAGGUGAUGCAGAGGCUCGCCUCGUAGGGAGCUUUUAGGCCUCCUGCUCCGGCUCCUAGAGGGAAGCGGUGUGAGGUGAUGCAGAGGCUCGCCUCGUAGGGAGCUUUUAGGCCUCCGGCUCCUAGAGGGAAGCGGUGUGAGGUGAUGCAGAGGCUCGCCUCGUAGGGAGCUUUUAGGCCUCCGGCUCCUAGAGGGAAGCGGUGUGAGGUGAUGCAGAGGCUCGCCUCGUAGGGAGCUUUUAGGCCUCCUGCUCCGGCUCCUAGAGGGAAGCGGUGUGAGGUGAUGCAGAGGCUCGCCUCGCAGGGCGCUUUUCAGGACUACUGCUGAGGUGUGGGGGUCUUAUUUGCACUUUUACAGUCCCCGAAGCAUAACCCAGGUGGGUGCUACCAGCCUGAUCUAGAGAGGAGGAGCUGUGAACAUCGACAGACAACAAGGUACUUGAUGAAGAGCUCCAUGGCCUGUCUUGUCAGAUGUCUCUACCUCCCUGCCUGGCUGUUCCAUCAAUGCUUCCUCCGGCGAUAAUACUACCUUUCUGAACUGCCCAUGAUGAAAGACCUUCGUCCAAUAACUACCAGAUCCUCCUACAUUUUUGUUGUUAAAUUGUUUUGUUUUUAAAAGCAACUUUGCGAUUCAACGUGUAAUGAAAAGCACCAUAUAAAAUGCAUGUAUUAUUAUUUACAUUUGAGAUACAAUUCUCUUGUUAUAAAAAGUGUUAUAAAUCCCAUCCUAUGUCCUAAAGAGUGCUUCUCCUCUCCUCCUCCGUU